UAGCCUUGACAUUGAAGAAACACACUAGAGAUAGAGUGGUGCCCUUCGGGGAAUCUGAAAACAGGUGCUGCACGGCUGUCGUCAGCUCGUGUCGUGAGAUGUUGGGUUAAGUCCCGCAACGAGCGCAACCCUCGUCCUUAGUUGCCAGCAGGUUAAGCUGGGCACUCUAAGGAGACUGCCUUCGUAAGGAGGAGGAAGGUGAGGACGACGUCAAGUCAUCAUGGCCCUUAUGGCUAGGGCUACACACGUGCUACAAUGGGGCGUACAGAGAGUUGCGAUACCGCGAGGUGGAGCCAAUCUCAUAAAGCGUCUCUCAGUUCGGAUUGAAGUCUGCAACUCGACUUCAUGAAGCUGGAAUCACUAGUAAUCGUAGAUCAGCAAUGCUACGGUGAAUACGUUCCCGGGUCU
rnacentral:rRNA from 1 species